CCCUUAGAUGUCCUGGGCUGCACGCGCGCUACACUGGAAGUUACGGAUUGAGAUACUACCUUGUCCGAAAUGGUCCGGGUAAUCACCUAAAAGCUUGUCAUAAUUGGAAUGGAUUAUUGUAACUAGUAAUCCUGAACGAGGAAUUCCUAGUAAGUCCCAGUCAACAGCUGGUACUGAUUACGUCCCUGCCCUUUGUACACACCGCCCGUCGCUACUACUGAUUGGACGUUUAAGCAAGAUUUUUAAACACUGACAGUGUGUAGUUCACGCUAUACUACAGUGAGAAGAAGAAGAUCGAGCUUACUUGUCUAGAGGAAGUAAAAGUCGUAACAA
rnacentral:rRNA from 1 species